rnacentral:rRNA from 1 species
UACGGAGGGGGCUAGCGUUGUUCGGAAUUACUGGGCGUAAAGGGCGCGUAGGCGGUUUACCAAGUCGGGCGUGAAAGGCCUGGGCUCAACCCGGGAACUGCGCUUGAUACUGGUCGAACUUGAGUCCGGGAGAGGAUGGCGGAAUUCCCAGUGUAGAGGUGAAAUUCGUAGAUAUUGGGAAGAACACCGGUGGCGAAGGCGGCCAUCUGGACCGGCACUGACGCUGAGGCGCGAAAGCGUGGGGAGCAAACAGG